UCGGGAAUUUUGGGCAAUGGGCGAAAGCCUGACCCAGCAACGCCGCGUGAGGGAUGAAGUAUUUCGGUAUGUAAACCUCGAAAGAAUGGGAAGAAUAAAUGACGGUACCAUUUAUAAGCUCCGGCUAACUACGUGCCAGCAGCCGCGGUAAUACGUAGGGAGCAAGCGUUGUUCGGAUUUACUGGGCGUAAAGGGCGCGUAGGCGGCGCGGUAAGUCACUUGUGAAAUCCCUGAGCUUAACUCAGAACGGCCAAGUGAUACUGCUGUGCUAGAGUGCGGAAGAGNCAACCGGAAUUCUUGGUGUAGCGGUGAAAUGCGUAGAUAUCAAGAGGAACACCUGAGGCGAAGGCGGGUUGCUGGGCCGACACUGACGCUGAUGCGCGAAAGCCAGGGGAGCAAACG
rnacentral:rRNA from 1 species